CAGCAGCCGCGGUAAUACAGAGGGUGCAAGCGUUAAUCGGAAUUACUGGGCGUAAAGCGCGCGUAGGUGGUUUGUUAAGUUGGAUGUGAAAUCCCCGGGCUCAACCUGGGAACUGCAUCCAAAACUGGCAAGCUAGAGUAUGGUAGAGGGUGGUGGAAUUUCCUGUGUAGCGGUGAAAUGCGUAGAUAUAGGAAGGAACACCAGUGGCGAAGGCGACCACCUGGACUGAUACUGACACUGAGGUGCGAAAGCGUGGGGAGCAAACAGGAUUAGAUACCCGGGUAGUCCCUGUCUCUUAUAC
rnacentral:rRNA from 1 species